CGGCAGCGAGGAGAAGCCUGCUUCUCUGUCGGCGAGUGGCGAACGGGUGAGUAUAGCAUCGGAACGUGCCAAGUAGUGGGGGAUAACCAAACGAAAGUUUGGCUAAUACCGCGUAAGCUCCAAGGAGGAAAGUAGGGGACCUAAUAAGGCCUUACGCUAUUUGAUCGGCCGAUGUCGGAUUAGCUAGUUGGUGGGGUAAUGGCUCACCAAGGCAAUGAUCCGUAGCGGGUCUGAGAGGACGAUCCGCCACACUGGGACUGAGACACGGCCCAGACUCCUACGGGAGGCAGCAGUGGGGAAUUUUGGACAAUGGGGGAAACCCUGAUCCAGCCAUGCCGCGUGUAUGAAGAAGGCCUUAGGGUUGUAAAGUACUUUUGUUAGGGAAGAAAAGCUAGUUUUUAAUAAAAAUUAGUGAUGACGGUACCUAAAGAAUAAGCACCGGCUAACUACGUGCCAGCAGCCGCGGUAAUACGUAGGGUGCAAGCGUUAAUCGGAAUUAUUGGGCGUAAAGCGAGUGCAGACGGUUACUUAAGCCAGAUGUGAAAUCCCCAAGCUUAACUUGGGACGUGCAUUUGGAACUGGGUGACUAGAGUGUGUCAGAGGGAGGUAGAAUUCCACAUGUAGCGGUGGAAUGCGUAGAGAUGUGGAGGAAUACCGAUGGCGAAGGCAGCCUCCUNGGGAUAACACUGACGUUGAGGCUCGAAAGCGUGGGGAG
rnacentral:rRNA from 1 species